GACGAACGCUGGCGGCGUGCUUAACACAUGCAAGUCGAACGGAAAGGCCCUGCUUUUGUGGUGUUCUCGAUUGGCGAUCGGGUGAGUAACACGUGAGUAACCUGCCCUUGACUUUGGGAUGACUUCAGGAAACUGGGGCUACUAUCGGAUAGCAGCUCCUGCUGCAUGGAGGGGGUUGGAUCGUUUCGGCGGGUGUGGAUGGACUCGCGGCUUAUCAGCUAGUUGGUGGGGUAGUGGCAUACCCAGGCUUUGACGGGUCGCCGGCCUGAGAGGGUGAACGGCCACCUGGGGCCUGAGAGACGGCGCAGUGUGCUACAGUGGGCAGCAGGCGGGAGUCUGGCACAGCGGGCGGAAGCCGGUUGAGGCAGCGCCGCGUGUGGGAUGACGGCCUGCGGGUAGAAAACCGCAUUCGCUUGUGACGAAGCGUGAGUGACGGUAAUGGGUAAAGAAGCACCGGCUAACUACGUG
rnacentral:rRNA from 1 species